GUUAAUUUUUUUACUUGUUAUUUGCACCUACACAUAAAAAUAUAACAUGCAUAUAAGUUCUCCGGUAGAAAAGUUGGGCACAGAUAAAAAAAAAAAUAACAUUUUUGAAAAUCAUGAGCGUCCUCCCUCUACUCUGAAUCUAAAAUUUAAUAUGUCAAUCUGUUAAAAAUAAAUUGUUAAGUAGUAUUUUAGUGGUGCAAAUUACAAUUUUAAUAAGGUGAACGAUCACACAAAUUACAAUUUGUGUAGGUACAAGAUGACGCAGAUAACAUAAUUCCCAUUAGUUUAGUUUUAUGUUGGCACAAACUAAAAUCUUAAAUAUUAGCGCAAAUUACUAAGAUUAUAUUUAAAUGUGUCGCAAAAUAAAUACCCUCACUAAAAAGGAGGGCCCCCACCUAGGCUAAGCUUCAGUCCAACAUCGUCCUAAGGCUAAUUUUUAUAAAUUAGGAUUAUAUUAACCAUAACUCAAGGGGAAGGCAUCAACUGUACAUACGAUAUAGACUAAUUCAUAAGUUAUUUAAUAAACAAUAGCAAUAGUGAAUGAAGUAAUGUGUUAAACAGAACCCUUACUGCCGUGGGUAAUACUUAAAAAAAAUUCUUAUAGUAUUAUCUACUAUGUAUCUCAAUGACGAAUAAAAACGAAUAAGCAAAGAUCAUAAAGUCAG